CCGGCCCAGACUCCUACGGGAGGCAGCAGUAGGGAAUCUUCCGCAAUGGACGAAAGUCUGACGGAGCAACGCCGCGUGAGUGAAGAAGGUUUUCGGAUCGUAAAACUCUGUUGUCAGGGAAGAACAAGUACCAUAGUAACUGAUGGUACCUUGACGGUACCUGACCAGAAAGCCACGGCUAACUACGUGCCAGCAGCCGCGGUAAUACGUAGGUGGCAAGCGUUGUCCGGAUUUAUUGGGCGUAAAGCGCGCGCAGGCGGUCUUUUAAGUCUGAUGUGAAAGCCCACGGCUCAACCGUGGAGGGUCAUUGGAAACUGGGAGACUUGAGUGCAGAAGAGGAGAGUGGAAUUCCACGUGUAGCGGUGAAAUGCGUAGAGAUGUGGAGGAACACCAGUGGCGAAGGCGACUCUCUGGUCUGUAACUGACGCUGAGGCGCGAAAGCGUGGGGAGCGAACAGGAUUAGAUACCCUGGUAGUCCACGCCGUAAACGAUGAGUGCUAAGUGUUAGAGGGUUUCCGCCCUUUAGUGCUGCAGCUAACGCAUUAAGCACUCCGCCUGGGGAGUACGGCCGCAAGGCUGAAACUCAAAGGAAUUGACGGGGGCCCGCACAAGCGGUGGAGCAUGUGGUUUAAUUCGAAGCAACGCGAAGAACCUUACCAGGUCUUGACAUCCUCUGACAACUCUAGAGAUAGAGCGUUCCCCUUCGGGGGACAGAGUGACAGGUGGUGCAUGGUUGUCGUCAGCUCGUGUCGUGAGAUGUUGGGUUAAGUCCCGCAACGAGCGCAACCCUUGAUCUUAGUUGCCAGCAUUCAGUUGGGCACUCUAAGGUGACUGCCGGUGACAAACCGGAGGAAGGUGGGGAUGACGUCAAAUCAUCAUGCCCCUUAUGACCUGGGCUACACACGUGCUACAAUGGAUGGUACAAAGGGCAGCAARGCCGCGAGGCCGAGCGAAUCCCAUAAAGCCAUUCUC
rnacentral:rRNA from 1 species